GGAUGGUUAGCUCAGUUGGUUAGAGUACUACGUUGACAUCGUAGGGGUCGUUGGUUCGAAUCCAAUACCAUCCACAA
rnacentral:tRNA from 1 species